GGGUCCAUAGCUCAGUGGUAGAGCAAUUGACUGCAGAUCAACUACUUUGGUUGGGCCCU
rnacentral:tRNA from 1 species